GUCAAGAAGAAGACACAGGGACAUCUAUGUGAAUUCGUGCAAGGUGCCAAAAUGCACAGAUCGCUAUCACCGUUGUUACGCAAAGAUGGAAUGGGCAUAGACUAUUCCACCUUCAAGUUUCACUGGGUUGACCCUAAUGUAAAUGAU
rnacentral:ribozyme from 1 species